GUCGGUUCAUCGCAUCUCGCGCACCGUCAUCGCUCGGAAACCUCAAGAAACCGACCGCCGAGGAAUCGCGUCGCCGGCACGGUGAUUCCCACCAUCUCGUCCGCACUAUCAGACGGACCUCUUCCCUUCGUUGGGCCUUCCUAGGAGCUCGCCGUUCUUGGACGCGGCGGACCGUGAAAUCUCCGGAAACCUCAAGAAAACCAUCGCCGACGAAUCGCGUCGCGUUCACGGGGAUCCCACCAUCUUGCCGGCGAUAUCAUGCGGAGCCCUCCCCUUCGCUGGACUUUCUUAGGAGCUCGCCGUUGUUGGAUGCGGCGGAGCGUGAAAUCUCCGGAAACCUCAAGAAAACCAUUGCCGAGGAAUGGCGUCGGCGUCACGGCGGAUCCCACCAUAUCACUGGCACUAUCCGGUGGAGCUCUUCUUUUCGUCGGACUUUCUUAGUAGCUCGCCGUUCUUGGACGCGGCGGACCGUGAAAUCUCCGGAAUCCUCUGCGUCGGAGUACGGCGGAUCACACCAUAUCACUGGCACUAUCCGGCGGAGCCCUCCUUUUCGUCGGACUUUCUUAGGAGCUCGCCGUUCUUGGACGCGGCGUUCCGUGAAAUCUCCGGAAACCUAAAGAAAAUCACCGCAGAGGGAUCGCAUCGCCGUCAAGGUGGAUCCCACCAUCUCGUCGGCGAUAUCAGAGGGAGCCCUUCCCUUCCGGACAUUCUUAGGACCUCGCCUUUCUUGGAUCCGGCGGAUCGUGAAUUAUCCUGAAACGUCAGGAACCCGCCGCCAAGGAAUCGCGGUGGCAGAUCCCACCAUCUCGCCGGCGAUAUCAGACGGAGCCAUCCCGCCGCCAAGGAAUUGCGUCGCCGUCACCGCGGAUCCCAUCAUUUCACCGGUGCUAUCAUCUUGAGCCGAUCCGUACGGGUUUCUAGCCCAUGGUCGGAUGUGGAUGUUGAAACGCUUCUUGAAGUGCACAGAUGGGGAUCCGGUGAACAGGGCAUUGGGCUCAAUGUUAGAUUGCAAUCGCUGAUAUGUUGAAGGCAAUGAUGAGAAAUUUGAUUUCGCUGAAUCCGAAAACUGAUCCGUCGCCUAGUUUUCCUGUGGAAGGCCUUUGUGUUCAGAUGGAUCUAACUUAGUUGGCUGGCAUGAGAUGCAUAGAUACCAGAAGGUCUACCCUAUGGAGAUUUGUCAUAACAAGAGAGAGGAUCGAUGAGUGGCUCUGGUGUGACGAGGACAUAUGGGCUUUACAAAAGGAAUGCUCUCGACUGCUUCCAGAAAGAAAACCGCAACCACAGCAAUAAUAGCACCAUCUGGUCUUCAAAAGUUGGCCGACUUUCCACUCUCUCGACAUUGCAACAGUUGCGGUUGGCCCCAAGCAAUAGCAUUUCCUCCUCACAUUUGUGAAGAUUACUACAUCGACGCCGCCUUGUGUUUCCAUGUCUCUCUCUAUAUAAAACCCGGGAGAGGAGUCGCAGAUUCUACCACGAGCUGUUUGUUACUAGGAGCAGAUAAGCUCGUGAUGUUGGAAGCAUUAUCUCCAAGGUCUCACGUAAAAGACACGAGGUAUUACGGUCUGACGAUUCCAUCACUAGCCACAGUCGUGAUCAGACAGCUUUGUCUCUCUGCUCGGUUCACAGAGUGCCAGUUAUUGUUUUCGAGAGGGAUAAAUGCAUUGUCAUUGCUGCUGUUCCUGAAACACUGGGUCUGCUGCACUGGGCCAUUACCACGCUGCACCUAUGUCCACAGCCUGCAGGCGCAAUAACUACAGACAAGGUACGAUGGUACCUGCAAGUUGCCACGGUGCCGUCUGAUGAUGGGCUACAAGUGAUGCAUGAGAGUUCAGUCCCAGCGAGCUUUCAUCACUUUUUGACAGAAGGGAGAUCUCGGUCGUACUAACAAAAUUACCAAACUGGGGCGAUCCGGUGGCGCGCACUCAACUUGCUAGCCGUGGGGGGGUCACGAGGAGAAAGCUUAUUUUGCGGAACAGUGAUUGCGGCCUUGGAUUCCAGCGGUUUGGUCUGAAACGGGAACAGCUCAGUGAUCUGCUUCGGUCUCCUGAAGAUGACUC